ACAAAAACAGGUCUAUGAUAUUUGUAGCAGGUUGGGCCGGGCCUUGUCUCUAGAUGAACAAAUGACAUGUUUUCUCAAGUAUAACAAUGGCCCCUGGAUAACUGAGGUUUUCUUCUCUGAUGACCAGACAAGGACUUGACUGUGGUGUCAUAGGAUUCUCUCUUCCGUAGGACACACGAGACCAGGGCCUGGCAGGGAGGUGCCCAGGCUUGGCCCUUGCCGGGCAGCUCCCUCCAUAGUUAGUCUGCUCCACGUUUAUCUCAAAGUGGCUGAAUUAACCUUUAGGCAGCCAGGGUCAGCUCCUCUCUGGGCACCCAGCCACACUCCAAUCUGUUAGAGGGCAGAGGCUCAACUGGUUCCUGCUAGAUUGCCGGCUCCUGCCCUUCUGAAUCCCAGAAGAAAGACAUCUUAAAACAAGGAGGGAACAUAAGAAACAAGCCAUUUUGAAAGGCAACACAGUCUUCCAGAUCCUGACUUCUUCUACCGGUGCACAGCUCUCCGUGCAUGUGACUUCUGUCCACACCGUGCUCAGGGCCGCCUUCGUAAAAGACACGUCAGAUGGGCCUCAAGACCUCUGAGAACCCUCACUCAGCCCACACCGUCGUCACCUUCACGUACACCACUCGCUUUCUUCACAGGACCAGGCCUUAUCCUCCCAGGGACGUUCUUUGUGGCAAAGAUUUGUUCUGUGCCUUGCGGACUGCUCUCAGAGUCCAGGUGCCGGCAACCAGAAGCCCUUCUCCGGGUCCCACACAGCCAGGCAGGGGCAGCACCACCCAGAGACAGCCAGUGGUCUAAGGCACAUUUCGCUCCAGCCACUCAGUUCACGACCGUGGGGGCCAGUGGGAAGCAGAGCCUGCCUGGUCUCCCAGGGUGGACACCUGAGUGGUGAGGAGGUGAGUGCUGGGGGGAGGGGAGGCGUCCAGAGCAAGUUUUCCCUGGAAGGAUAUCAUGCACCCAAAGGGCUUGCCCUGUGCCCUGGACUCACCAUCCAGGGUAGAAAUAGCAUUAAAUCCUUGCUGGCGGCUUUGGUCCCCUAGUACAGAAAUACGUGCAAGUCAGGCAUCUAAAGCACUAAAUGCUGUUUGUGAGGUUUUGAAAAAGCCAGGGAAGAGAGGAAGCACUGGGAGAUUCUGGCGUAAACUGGAGGCCACUGCCUUGUUUGAAAGUGACCUGGGAGAAGUAUGAGCAGAAAAGGACGAGACAAGGAGGGGCCGGGCUUGAGUUCUUGGGCUCUGCCCUCUGUGCUCACAGCAGCCAGUAGGAAAGAGGCAGCUGCUUUGGGGCUGUAACUACACCAUUACAGGGGUAAUUUCUGUCAAGAGGCAAGAGGAACGUAGAACAGGAUUGCAGAGCGUGGGUUGUAGAAGCCAAAUAGAGUUAGAAGGUGUGUUGACAUGUUUGCUCUGUUUUCCCCCUUCUCUUUUGCUGCAAAUAAUGUACGGCCUGUACUAGUUCCAAGGAUUCUAGACCAAAUGGAGUGAGUGAAGCAGGUGUAAAAGACACCAGUCAGCUGAGGUCGCUCUGCUCUCCAAGCUGUUAAUUUUCAGCCUUUUGGUUUGAAUUUAUCAGCUCUGUAAUGUUAGCCUGCUAUGUAAAAUAUUAAAUUAUACCUACUGAG